rnacentral:lncRNA from 1 species
UUUGUUUAUGUAAUUGGUCUUAAAUUUGGGGUUUUAUCUUGAAAGAAUAAAAAUUGGGAAGGGGUAAUUGGAAAACUAGAAAUCAUUUAUGUUGCCGUAGUUCCCUGCCUAUAAAGGCACCCCAAACUUGCCUUUGCAAAAGGACAAAGAAAAAAAAGAGAUAAAAAUUCUUGAAAAUUAAACGCGGCUGCUUCUUUAAGAACUUCAAAAAUAACUUAUAAUUUUGGAAAUUCUCUAAGAAAUUACUGGAAAUUUUGUUAGUAUGUUUUGGUAUCCCAAUUAAACUAUUGAAGCAGUGAUAGUUCUUCUUUGACUGUGGUGUGCAACGAGUGGAGUUCCGGGUAUUUUUUAAAGCUGGUUGGGAUUUAUUUUUUGAAAAUACUGUUUCAUUACUGAUUUGAGAUGAUUUAACUAUUUCACUGGAUGUUGCUUGGCUGAUUCCUCACUAUUUUGUCUCUAUUUCAUUUUCCAGGUACUUGUUCUUAAAAUUGUAGAGUUGAUCCUCAAAUUGGAAUUGAAAUGGAGCUGUGAUUCAUUAUAUAACUUUACUUUCGUGGAUCUCCCUGUUUUAAGCUUUCAUAAUUAGGUUUUUUCAUGUGUAAUUGAAUAUGCCACUAGAUAUUGUCUUAAUUUAUAUGACUUUAAUUGGUUUUGCUUGAAUAUAAGAGGCUCGAGUCCAUGCUUUGUCUGAUUGUCUUUUUUUGUUCAGUUGUGCUAUGUAUGCUUUGUUCAUGAUUCUCAAUGUUGUAACUCACUUUAAAAGUUUUAUUUGAUGUCCAUUUUGAAUACUGUUUGAGCCCGGGAAUGACCUCGGGUCUUAAUGAUAUGUAUAAGUGAAUAACCACUAUUUCUCUAGUUUAAUUUGGUCAAUUUUUUCCGAAUUUUGUAUGUAUGUUGAACUGGUGGUCAGAUUUAGAUUUGCCUAACCUUUUCAUUCGAUCUAUGUUCUGAUUUGUUCCAGGUUUAGUUUGGUUCACAGGUUCUGAGCUUUGAUUUUGUGCCUACGUCACAUAUAUAAUUCAUUUGUGGUAGUUGUGUUUUUGAAAAUUCAUGAUUCAAAUAAUGGGUUGAUGGUUUGAUAGUUUGCAAAUUUAAUUAAGUUAUACAAGGUUCUUCGUUGUUGUUAACAGGUUCAUAAUUGGGAUUCAAACUUCACAUAAUAUGUUUGUUACUUUAGCCUAUUCGAAAUUGAGAUGCGAAUUAUGUUAUUCAAUGUUCUGGUUUGUUCCCUCUUUGUGGUUAUUUAGUUUGCAGUAUGGGUUAUAGUUACAGUGUGGGUUUUGUUAUUCGAAAUUUUGGUCUAAAAUGAAAGCGUGGGUUAUACGAUUAUAG